UUGGCAGGAGCAUGGAGGCGCGCCAGGGCGCCCACGUGUGCGCCGAGCUCCCAGCUGAGCCGGGCGAGGGUUUUCUUCCGGCCUACUGAACAGUAGCAGCAGCAGCAGAGACCUUCUGAGGGGCUGUGACUUGGGGUUGAUGGCUCAGAUCAGUAUUUGAAAUCCACAAGUGUCACUGGCUUUAGGUUUUUGGUUUCUCAGUGAAGUGAACCGGCCUGACGCAGAUGAAGACCACAGAAUGGGUGGCAGCAAAAUUGCAAAAUCUGGAGUGAGAAACAGCAAGAAGACAUUGUGCUAGUCUCUGGUAGCUUCCACUAAUCAAUGAAAAAUAAGUCUGAAUGUUCUUUCCACCAAAAAUGCCAUUUUUAUUAAAAAUGUGAAUGUUUA